CCCGCCGCUCCGGCCGCAGCACCCGGGCGCAGCCCCGUCCCCCGGGACCCCCUAUGCCGGGAACCGGGGGUUCUCCACCGCCAUCCUGCAGCCGGGGUCCCCCAUCCCCGCUCUUGGCACCCGGGAGAAACCCGUCCUCCGGGAUCCCGUCCUUUUGUCGCUGGGUCAGGGACUUGUCCAAGACCUCGGGACAGCCGAACCCAUCCCUGGGACCGAAGAGCAGCAUCAGAAUCCAGAACCCUUGCCUUCUUCCUCCUGCCUCCAUCCCUGGACGCUGCGGUCGGUCCCUGAACCCCGGAGUCCUCAGCGCCGACCUCUGGAGCUGAUGCCGCUCCCAGAGCCCAGGACUCCCUGUCACUGCCCUGGGGAGCUGUCAGCCCCAGAGCCCAGGACGCUGGGUGUCUCCUGGCUGUGCCCCAGGUACCGGUCCUCCAGAGCGCACAGAACUUUCAAAGUGGGAUUCUGCUAACACCCUCCACUUGGGAUCAGGACAUUGAGCAGUUUUGCCAUGGAAGGGGAAGAUGCAGAUGCAUGUGUCUGUGACACCACCAGAUCCUGGCUCUUUCUGCGUGGCACUUUUGCUGUGUUGGAUUAGUCCCAUACAAAUCACCUGUGAAGCCAACCUUUGAAGCAGAGAUGCUGCCUCACCCACACGGCUGGGCCAGCUAAGAGAUGGAGCAAAGGGCUGGGACAAGCACAACAGAGGAGGAAUAUCCUACACCAGCCAAGCCCUAAUUCCUUUCUUUAAGCAUAAACCCUUAAGCAGACCACCUGCUUACCCUUAAGUGUGUCAUUUUUCCCGUAUCUGCAUGAGUCCUGGUCCUCCGUUUGCAGGCAUCCUUGCAGCACCUGGCACAGUAAUCAGUCAAGACCUGCAUGGCUGCUUCUUCUGGGUUCUAAAAAACAAAGGAGGAAAAAAAGAGACUCUUUGGUUUCUCUAAAAUCACUGUUUAUUUGCCAGUUCUUGCAUGUUAAGAUUUCUGAGAAAACAAACAAUCUCCAGGGGCUUCUUGACGUUAUUUGCCUUCUAGCAGAAAUCCUAUCAGCUUCUCCUGUGGUUCUCAGAUCUGGCAGGGGCAGCUCCCCUCCCUCCUCUUUUUUCACCCCUAAACAACACGCAGACACCCUCCCCAUUGAAUUAACAUCAUCUUUCCCCUGCAAUAUCAUGUUGGAGUGACUUCCUUGGCUCACAGUUGCAAAUUUGGUCUCUCCCGUGCUGGGGAUUCCGAGCAGCAGGAGUCAGGAGCUGCCUGGAGUGUAUGCAAUCCUGUGCCAGGCUGCACUUGUUCAGGAACGAGAAUCUCCUCUUCCCGUUGAACGGGGUUGAUUCAGAAACCCCUACAGAAGUCCUGCUGUGUUUAAGUUUAAUGGGAAUAGGACACUUGAGAGCACAUGAGCUGUCCCUGAUCGGGCGGGGAGAGCUCCCUCCCUGUCGGAAACCCAUGAGUUUGUGCCAGCAUCCGCAAGCCUUGUGUGGUUUUGGGGGGCGGUGAUUUUUGUGGGAACUCAGCAGCUGCCCAGCCUCGAGCGGGGCUGGUGAAUGUCCCGGAAGCCGAGCUGGCACUGCUGCGGGAGCCUCGGAGGGCUGCUGCUGCUGCUGCGGGCUGUGCCCGCCUGCUCGGCAGGAAGUCCACCGCCUGGGACCGAGGGGCUAAUUGCAUUAUGCAAUCUUUGUAGCCAGAGUCAGGACUUUAAUUAUGUCUUUCCUCUCCUUGCUGGCUCUCGGCAAAGUCACGUCGGCUCUGCUCUGUGCGAUGCUCAGCCAUGCCUGUGAGAAAGUGGGAUUGUUACACAGCGGGGAGGUGGGGACGGAGGCUGCACAUCCAAGGGUUUGAAGCUUGAGUCCCCGCUUCAGCAGAUGCUCCGUGUAAAUCAGCGCCGCAGAUGAGCCGCGUCGUUCUGCACCAGCUGGGACUUUCGGCCCUGGAA